UGAGUAACACGUGGGUAACCUGCCCAGAAUCAGGGGAUAACACUUGGAAACAGGUGCUAAUACCGUAUAACAACAGAAGAACCGCAUGGUUUUUGUUUAAAAGGUGGUUUCGGCUAUCACUUCUGGAUGGACCCGCGGCGUAUUAGCUAGUUGGUGGAGUAAUGGUUCACCAAGGCAAUGAUACGUAGCCGACCUGAGAGGGUAAUCGGCCACAUUGGGACUGAGACACGGCCCAAACUCCUACGGGAGGCAGCAGUAGGGAAUCUUCCACAAUGGACGAAAGUCUGAUGGAGCAACGCCGCGUGAGUGAAGAAGGGUUUCGGCUCGUAAAACUCUGUUGUUGAAGAAGAACACAUCUGAGAGUAACUGUUCAGGUGUUGACGGUAUUUAACCAGAAAGCCACGGCUAACUACGUGCCAGCAGCCGCGGUAAUACGUAGGUGGCAAGCGUUGUCCGGAUUUAUUGGGCGUAAAGCGAGCGCAGGCGGUUUCUUAAGUCUGAUGUGAAAGCCUUCGGCUUAACCGGAGAAGUGCAUCGGAAACUGGGAGACUUGAGUGCAGAAGAGGACAGUGGAACUCCAUGUGUAGCGGUGAAAUGCGUAGAUAUAUGGAAGAACACCAGUGGCGAAGGCGGCUGUCUGGUCUGUAACUGACGCUGAGGCUCGAAAGCAUGGGUAGCGAACAGGAUUAGAUACCCUGGUAGUCCAUGC
rnacentral:rRNA from 1 species